AAAUUGAUUAAGUGGAUAUUCUUAAUGCAACAAUUUGAUAAUAAUAACCAUUUUCGUCGUUUUCAUGAUAUUAUUACAGUUGCAUAAUAAUUGUAUAUUGUGUUAUUAAUAUAGGUAUGAAUUUAACGAAUUUUCGUAAAAGUUUUAAAUUUUAAAAUCGAAAUAUAACAUCUAUAAUACAUUGUGAUAAAAUCGGUUGGCAUAAAUCGUUCAAAACUAAUGUGAGCACUAUUACUCUUCGAUUGGGUCUACUAUUAAACACUAAAAUAAAAGGACAGUGACUUUUCUAUAAUUUUAUUUGAACAAAUUAUAUAUGUUAAAUUUAAAUUUAAAUCAUAUUUUCAAAUUAAUAAUACGUUUAAAAUUAAAUAAUUUUACCAUAAGUUGUAGCAAAAAGGUUAAGUAAUUGUGUAUGUGUAUGUUUUACAAAGCUCAAUAUAUUUUUCUUCUCGUUAAUUGUAUAGUAUAGGUCGGUACCCACUAAUCAGAAUUCAGCGACCGUUGAAUUGGCUCCUAAUAUAUUAGGUAAAUACUAAAUUCCCUGAUCGACCAAUGGAAUGGCUUCCAAGAAAUAUAUUAUUGAGUUGGCUCAACUUGGCCAGCCUGAUAACAUGAAAUGUUUUCCGAAUAGUGGUUCUCAAAAUAUAUUUCAAAUAAAAGUUUAAAAUAUACGUGACAUAAACAUUUUAUAUCUGGCGCAAAUUCGGAAAUAACCUAAUCACUAGGUAAAAUAUGAAUUGGACCCAGGGGAAAAGGGCUUAGGUUAAUUGUUGGAAUUUUUUUAUAAUUUAGUUUAAUGCCAUUUUUUUAAUGUCAUUUUUUUUACCUACAUUGCAUAAGUGUAUGUAUUUUCAAAAUUAGCAAACUAUUAAUUAUUGUAUUACUUAGUUUAUGUACUUAAGUAUAUUUAUAAUCAAAAUUUAAUUUUCCUGCAUUGAAAACUAUACAAAAAAUUAACUUAAACCCUUCUUUCCUGCGACCAAAGAUAUAUAAAGUGGAUUUAUGAUAUUUAUACUAUUCUGAUUGUUCCAUUUUUAUAUAUAAUUAAAUUAUCAUUUUAAAAAUUUAUUUACAGAGAUAAUGUUAUUUUAGUACCUAAUCAAUUUAUAUUUUAAACGAUAUAAGUGUUUAGGCCUUUAGGGAACUAAUUCCAAAGCCAAAUCUCGGGAGCCAAUUCAAUAUAGACAUAGUAUUUGUGAGUGCAAAAGAUACAGAACUAUGAUCCCUUUAAAAUCCACCUUGAUUUGUGAGCCAAUAUUAUUCAAUCGCACCAAACUUUAAAUUUUAAAAUUUUAAAAAGAAUGUCUACUGUAAUGAUUUAUGGCCGCGUAAACUAAUAAUUUAAUUAGUUACCUAUACAUUGUGCAUUGAGUUAAAUAUUCAGAUAUGUCGAAAGACCCGAGUUUGCUGAUAAAUAACUUAUUAUUAAUCACAUAUUUAACAACCAAUCGUAUAAAUCGAAAUUUAAAAUUGUAUCGUUUUUUUCUUGUUUGUAAAAUAUAUUACCGAAAUUGUGUAGUAUUAAAUUAUUACAAUAUAUACAUACAUAGGUAUAUAUAUUAUACGUAUUGAAUGUAAAACAUAUUAUAUUAUUAUAAGUAAAUAAACGUGUCGUCUUAUACCUUAUAUAUCCCUGUUUUUUUUUUUUUUUUUUUUUUUUUUUUUUUUUACAAUCUUUUUACAAACAAACAAAAACUUUUGAAUUUUAUUUAUUGAUUUAAAUUUCUUAUAAAAAAAAUUCGAAUUAUUACCUACAUACAAUUUUGCUCACAUAAUAUUUCUUUUUACGUUCGUGUGACC
rnacentral:lncRNA from 1 species